UACAGAGGUCCCGAGCGUUGUUCGGAUUCAUUGGGCGUAAGGGUGCGAUAGGCGGUCGUUCUAAGUUUGAUGUGAAAUCCCGGGGCUCAACCCUGGAAUUGCAUUGAAUACUGGAGGACUAGAGUACCGGAGAGGAAACUGGAAUUUACGGUGUAGCAGUGAAAUGCGUAGAGAUCGUAAGGAAGACCAGUGGCGAAGGCGAGUUUCUGGACGGUAACUGACGCUGAGGCACGAAGGCCAGGGGAGCAAACGGG
rnacentral:rRNA from 1 species